UGGGGAAAAAAAACAUAGAUGUAGGGGCAUAAUGUAAUUUGUUCCUUCUAAAUUAGUUAAUUUUUUUAGGACUGCAAAAAGUGAACAUCCACAAAAUGUUGUUAUUUUUCUCUUUACUUGUAAAAGUAAAAUUGCAUUUUAAAUAAUAAUGAAACAAAUUUAAAUAGUAUCUGAAUGAAGCACUUUAGCUCUUUCUAGAUUAUGUUGCUUGUGAAUUCAUAAUUAAAAUCGGCUCCACCAUGGCACCUGGUUCCCUCGUCUCCACCGGGCUCCCUCGUCCCUCUGGCUCCUCCUUGGUCAGUCGUCAACCAUCUGCCACCUUGGGACUCCACACCUCUGGCUUUGCCUUGUCACUUCAUCGCUCUGGCUCUGUCAGGCUCUUCCUUCCCGCCUCCAUCCUCAGUCGCUCCACCGCAUUCUUCCGGAGCCCCGCCUUGGCCCUCCGGUUCCUCAGUGUCACCCUGGGUCUCCUUCUGCUCUGCUCCAUCCUGGGCUCCUCAUGCAUCGGCUCAGUCUCCGUCAGUCGGCCCCCUGGUGUUGUCAGCUCCUUCUCCUGCCGUCGACUCCUCCGUGGACCACUAUCCUGGCUGGCCUUUGGAGUUAUAUCUGGCUCCUCCUGUUCUGUAAUAUCUAAGUAGGCUAUAAUGUGAGCACUUCACUGCUAUUACCUUUUUUCCUAAAUAUAAUAUCUAUGUGCAGGUUAAGAGCACCAUCAGCUUGACUCAUCUCAGCCUCUGUCACUGUGUCUUCUCUGUUCUGGCUAUUGACAAACAAAGAUGUGGCUGUCCUGCCCCAGGGUCCUGUACAAUACACACACACCACAAAGCAACAUAUCCUAUGACAGGAGAGGAAGGCUCUGUCUCUGUAGGCAACACAGAAGGUCCAGCCAUGCUGACACUGAGUGAGAGAGACAGACAAAUCUCUAACAGACUGUUCCUGACACAAGAAUUAUUGUUAUACAGCUGUGCUACAACAGAGAAGUGUGCGCAUGCUAAUAGAAGAGCAUUAGACGUAAACAUUUCAUGUAUCACAGUCACUAUUUUUCAUAAAGAGGUUAAAUGCUAAAUUAUAAAUAUAAAAUACAUAUUUAUUCAUAUAGGCUUGAAAGAAACUGAACUCAUUGAAAUAUGAAUUCAGAAAAUGCAUAUUUUAUUAUCAGCUUUCCAAAUUAUUUGACAUUUCUAAUGCUAUUUCCCAUGAUGUUUACAUUAUAUUCCCAUACAAAAAAAGUGUAAAUUAUUUAGUUUUCAAUCUUCCAAUUUUAGACCUACAGUAAUGAAUAUCUGUGCAAUUAUUUUGCUUAUAUAUUUAUUUAUUUUGAAAAAUAAUGCUAGUAGAUAAUCAAUUAAAUCAACUUAAAACUGACAAAUUGAGUGUUUAUCUGAGUGAUACAAGACUUUGUGACUUUUGUUCCACUUGAAUUCGGAACUCAAAAAAAACAAAAAAGAAAAAACAAUAGAUUUAAGGAUUUAUGUGGCUGAAUCUUUUGAAAAAAUUCAAAAAUGCUUCCCUCGCUGGUCACUUUGACCCAACCAUAGGAAUGAAUGAAAUGUUGAAAAAACUGCUUUUUUAAUUUUAUUUUUAUUAUUAUUAUUAUUUUUAAUACAAAAUCUGCCACAAUGCAGUUAUAACACAAUC
ensembl:lncRNA